rnacentral:rRNA from 1 species
CGGCGGACGGGUGAGUAACGCGUGGGUAACCUGCCUCAUACAGGGGGAUAACAGUUGGAAACGGCUGCUAAUACCGCAUAAGCGCACAGUACCGCAUGGUACGGUGUGAAAAACUCCGGUGGUAUGAGAUGGACCCGCGUCUGAUUAGGUAGUUGGUGGGAUAACGGCCUACCAAGCCGACGAUCAGUAGCCGACCUGAGAGGGUGACCGGCCACAUUGGGACUGAGACACGGCCCAA